UUUCAAGAAAAACGAAGAAGGAAACGGCAGAAAAAGCUCAUGGAAAGGGCCACGGGAACAUUUUCCCCGUCCACACGGGCGUCGCUGGUCGCACACCCACAUGCAUAUGCGGCCAGCAUGGGAUGGGUGCCUGUGCCCACACCCAUCUAUGUAGGGCGCGGGACCAAUAGUUUGCUUGCAUCACAUUGUGCACGACGCCUUGUGCGCGCGCCAUCCCUUAGGGUGUGCACCACCGUUCGGGCAACGGGCCAUCGUCGUUUGAGUAGCAUGCCUUCAGUUUUUGUACCACCAUCGCAUCACUGUCGUUGCGUUGGCCAUCUAUUAGUCGUGUCCCACAGUUGUUGCAUUGUAUUAAGUCACUUUUUUUCUGAUCCCUC
rnacentral:lncRNA from 1 species